rnacentral:lncRNA from 1 species
GUGAAAACCUAGAAGGUGAAUCUCAGCUAGGUCCAGCCUCACAAGAUGGUGAACCUCAGCAAGGACCACCCCCAAAAGGUGAUGGACCUCGGCAGAAACCACGUCCAAAAGGUGAUGGACCUCAGCAGAGACCACAUCCACAAGGUGAUGGAUCUCAGCAGAGACCACCUCCACGAGAUGGUGAACCUCCGCAGAGACCACCCCCACCAAAGCAACGUUGUCAUCACCAUCCUCCCCCACUUUCUCCUGAAAGACAUCACAGACCACCACCCCCAAGACGUGGACCACAAAGAUCUCCCCAAGGCCCACCAACCCAGUAAUCUGGAAUUCAAUGACAGAAAAUAUGAAGAUAUGUGUCCUUCAGAAAGCCAUGGAAGAAGGCAGUCUAUCUUCCCUUUAUCAAUAAAACAAUCAGCAUCUAAUUUCUAAGGGUCAUGUCUCAUUCUGGGUGUUUGUGAGUCUGAAAUUUGAGGGCUGUGAACCCAGCAUAGGAGCAUCAAAGACCCGUUCUCAUCGAUAGGUCCAGAUGGCUUCCUCUGGGGCCACCUUCCUAGGAAACAUUUUUCCUUCGUUCUUUGCUUGAGGACAGGAGUGUGUAUCUCCUUUCAACCUGCUUUUGCCUCCUCUUUCCCCCUAGAACCAUUACUCAUAAGCCAUAUACCUCUUCCUCUCCCUCCAUGGUUUCUAUGGCAUUAGGCCAUAUUUAUUUUCUUUACACUUUUAACUAAGACUCUAGUAAUGUUAUGGAAAUAAGGAAAAUAUUUCAAAUGUAAGAAGUUGCACAGAAUGGAAAUUCUUAAAAUUUCCGAAAUAAUUGAUGCUAUUGCUAGGGAAAUGAGUGGUUCUAUGUCCUUACUCUCUGGAGUCUACUAUAUCCCACCUCCAUAUUUUUUUUAAACAUUUCUCAGUUUUUUCCCUCCUUAGAUCCCCGGCCUUUCUUUAACAAAACCUGAGUAUAUUUCAUAAAGGAAGUGGUAUGCUCCAAAGGAAUUUGGAGUUCUUGAGACUUGAGUUUAAAUCCUAUCUCUUUAUGUUAGCUCUGGACUCUUAGCAAGCUGC